ACAAAACUACACUUAGGCGCCACUAGGAAGGGCGCCCCUUCCAAUUACCCUACACUAAGGUGCCAAGAGGAAUGGCGCCUCUUCCUUGCAUGUGAGAAAUCACAUGUAGGCGCCAAGAGGAAGGGCUUCUCUUCCCUUGCAUGUGCUUUCUUCACAUGCGCCAAGAAGAUUCCUCUUCUCUUCCAUUCUGGAUUUUGUCAUUCUCUUGUCUCCU
rnacentral:lncRNA from 1 species